AAACUUUCAACAACGGAUCUCUUGGUUCCGGCAUCGAUGAAGAACGCAGCGAAAUGCGAUACGUAAUGUGAAUUUGCAGAAUUCAGUGAAUCAUCGAGUCUUUGAACGCACAUUGCGCCCCCUGGUAUUCCGGGGGGCAUGCCUGUCCGAGCGUCAUUG
rnacentral:rRNA from 1 species